UCCUUGGUGGCUCAGUGGUAAAGAAUCUGCCUGCCUGUGCAGGAGACUCGGGUUCAAUUCCUGGCCCAGGAA
rnacentral:tRNA from 1 species